rnacentral:rRNA from 1 species
CCCUUAGAUGUUCUGGGCCGCACGCGCGCUACACUGAUGCAUUCAACGAGUCUAAAACCUGGUCUGAUAGGGCUGGGUAAUCUUUUGAAUGUGCAUCGUGAUUGGGAUAGAUGAUUGCAAUUCUUCAUCUUCAACGAGGAAUGCCUAGUAAACGCAAGUCAUCAGCUUGCAUUGAUUACGUCCCUGCCCUUUGUACACACCGCCCGUCGCUCCUACCGAUUGAAUGUUCCGUUGAAUACCAUGGACUGAGAGUAUGAAUGGGUUCGCCUAUUUCUGCUUCUCGGGAAGUGGAGUAAAUCUUAACAUUUAGAGGAAGGAGAAGUCGUAACA